UACGGAAGGCAGCAGUGGGGAAUAUUGCACAAUGGGCGCAAGCCUGAUGCAGCCAUGCCGCGUGUAUGAAGAAGGGCCUUCGGGUUGUAAAGUACUUUCAGUCGUGAGGAAGGUGUUAAGGUUAAUAACCUUAGCAAUUGACGUUAGCGACAGAAGAAGCACCGGCUAACUCCGUGCCAGCAGCCGCGGUAAUACGGAGGGUGCGAGCGUUAAUCGGAAUUACUGGGCUAAAGGGCACGCAGGCGGUUAAUUAAGUUGGAUGUGAAAUCCCCGGGCUUAACCUGGGAAUGGCAUUCAAGACUGGUUAGCUAGAGUCUUGGUAGAGGGGGUAGAAUUCCAUGUGUAGCGGUGAAAUGCGUAGAGAUGUGGAGGAAUACCGGUGGCGAAGGCGGCCCCUGGGACAAAGGACUGACGCUCAUGUGCGAAAGCGUGGGGAGCGAAACAGGGAUUAGAUACC
rnacentral:rRNA from 1 species